rnacentral:rRNA from 1 species
GUGCAGCAGUCGCGAAACCUCCGCAAUACACGAAAGUGUGACGGGGCCAUCCCGAGUGCCGUCCGCUGAGGACGGCUUUCCCCAGUGUACAUAGCUGGGGAAUAAGGAGAGGGCAAGCCUGGUGUCAGCCGCCGCGGUAAUACCAGCUCUCCGAGUGGUGGGGACGCUUAUUGGGCCUAAAGCAUCCGUAGCCGGCUAGGCAAGUCCUCCGUUAAAUCCAACGAUUCAAUCGUUGGGCUGCGGGGGAUACUGUCCAGCUUGGGGGCGGGAGAGGCCGACGGUAUUCCCGGGGUAGGGGUGAAAUCCUAUAAUCCCGGGAGGACCACCAGUGGCGAAGGCUGUCGGCUAGAACGCGCCCGACGGUGAGGGAUGAAAGCUGGGGGAGCGAACCGGAUUAGAC